GCGGAUAUGAUGGAAUUGGUAGACAUGCUAGGUUUAGGUUCUAGUGAAUUCGAAACUCGUGGGGGUUCGAGUCCCUCUAUCCGUA
rnacentral:tRNA from 1 species